GUAAGGAAUAUUGGUCAAUGGGCGCAAGCCUGAACCAGCCAUGCCGCGUGCAGGAAGACGGCCCUAUGGGUUGUAAACUGCUUUUGAAUGGGAGAAAACCCCUCUACGUGUAGAGGGCUGAUAGUACCAUUAGAAUAAGCAUCGGCUAACUUCGUGCCAGCAGCCGCGGUAAGACGAAGGAUGCAAGCGUUAUCCGGAUUCAUUGGGUUUAAAGGGUGCGUAGGCGGACCUGUAAGUCAGUGGUGAAAUCUCUCAGCUUAACUGAGAAACUGCCAUUGAUACUGCUAGUCUAGAGUAUAGAUGACGUUGGCGGAAUAUGACAUGUAGUGGUGAAAUACUUAGAUAUGUCAUAGAACACCGAUUGCGAAGGCAGCUAACGAAACUAUAACUGACGCUGAGGCACGAAAGUGCGGGGAUCAAACAGGAUUAGAUACCCUUGUAGUCC
rnacentral:rRNA from 1 species